CAAAUUGUGAUUUUCAGCUGAUUAUUUACAGACAUCACGUAAUUUUGUUGUUUUAUUUUUUAGUUUAAAAAAAUGGCUGCUCAUGGACGAUUUGGUGGUCGAACAAACAAGGAACUUAUUCAAUAUUUAAAAAAGUCAAAAAUAGUUAAAUCAGAACGAGUUUAUGAGGCAAUGUGUUGUGUUGAUCGUGAAAAAUAUACAUCAAGAGAUCCUUACAUUGAUGCACCACAAGGAAUUGGAUUUGGAGUUACAAUAAGUGCACCACACAUGCAUGCCUAUGCAUUGGAGUUGCUCGCAGACAAAUUGAUAAGAGGAAAUAAAGCAUUAGAUGUUGGAUCUGGAUCUGGUUAUUUAACAGCUUGUAUGGGAGUGAUGCUUGGUAAUGAUGGUCUUGCUGUUGGUAUUGAUCAUAUUCCAGAGCUUCAACAACUUGCUGAAAAAAAUAUAAAGAAUGACAAACCAAAUCUACUUGAAAGUGGUCGUGUUAAAUUAAUAGUUGGUGAUGGAAGACUUGGUUGUACAAAAUAUGCUCCAUAUGAUGCAAUACAUGUUGGAGCAGCAGCAAAAGAAAUGCCUCAGACAUUGAUUGAUCAAUUGGCACCUGGUGGACGUCUUAUUGUUCCAGUUGGUCCUGAAAAUUCUGAUCAGACACUUGUACAAAUUGAUAAAACAAUUGAUGGUGUUAUUAAACAACGAUCAUUGAUGGGAGUUGUUUAUGUACCUUUGACUGAUAAGGAACGACAAUAUAAUUCGUGAAAUAGAUGUUUGCUCCAGUGAGCCUUUCGUAUCAUUAGCAUUCAAAAAUAAUAUAUAUAUUCAUUUGAAAGGACAAUAUAAUGAUCAUUUGAUUUACAAUAACGCCAGAAAAUGGAUACUAACUAAAGAACUCAUUGAUAGACCUACUCCGUAAAAUCCACCAAUCAUUGCUGAGGCUAUUUCUUGUUCAUGUGUCUUCACUACUCUGUUGUAUUUUCAAACAAACAAUCAAUUGAUUAUAUAUUUUGUUAUUAUUUUAAUUUUAAAAGAAUGGAUAAUUUGAAAAAUUAUUACUCACGUAGGAACAAGUAUGAAUACACUUGACCAUGAAAAACCAUGGCUUGUAGAAAAUAAAAACAUUAUUAGCAUGUAAAUAAAAUCAUUGGUGAUGUAGACUGGAAAAUGUUUUUCCGAAUCAGCUGAAGCAUUACAAACAAAAAAAAUUGGAAUGAAUAUAAAUCUGGCUGUAGAAAUACUCAGUAGUAACCACGGUUUUCCUUUCAACUAAAUUAUAAAUAAAAUAAAAUAUUAAAAACAAUUAAAACACAAUUUUACAGAGUGUUAUACGAAUUUGAAAUUUUACCCAAGAUGAAUAACGUGAAUAUAAACAACCAAAAUAAUCACCAAUACUGAACGUAAGAAAUGUUGCAACUGGUACAAAGUAUUUAUCUGAAAUAAAUUAAUUGUUAAAUUUUUUAAAUAUUACUUAAAAGAGAUUUAUUAAUUUAUAUUUUAUUCUAUAUUUUAACUGACCGCUCCAUUCGCUGGUACUUGAUGAUUCACUCUUUACCAGUGAAUUAACUCCUGGAUAAACUAAAUAUGUUAUAAAAAAUGUCAAAAAAAUGCUCAAUCCAUAUGGCCAAAUUUUAACGAUAAUUUUUAUAUAUGAUACUGAAUUAUUAUCACUUGAACUUGGUGUAUCAUCAAUUGAUUUAUCAGAAUUUUUAAUCGUCACUUUCUCCUUCAUAUGAU
rnacentral:misc_RNA from 1 species